rnacentral:rRNA from 1 species
UCGAGAAUCUUUCACAAUGGGGGCAACCCUGAUGGAGCGACGCCGCGUGGAGGAUAAGGUCUUCGGAUUGUAAACUCCUGUCAUGCGAGAACAAGGCCUUGCGGCUUGAUAGUAUCGCAAGAGGAAGAGACGGCUAACUCUGUGCCAGCAGCCGCGGUAAUACAGAGGUCUCAAGCGUUGUUUGGAAUCACUGGGCGUAAAGGGUGCGUAGGCGGCGAGGAAAGUCAGAUGUGAAAUCCGAGGGCUCAACCCUCGAAUAGCAUCCGAUACUUCCCUGCUCGAGAUUUGUAGAGGAGUCUGGAACUCUCGGUGUAGCAGUGAAAUGCGUGGAUAUCGAGAAGAACGCUCGUAGCGAAGGCGAGGCUCUGGGCAAGUUCUGACGCUGAGGCACGAAGGCUAGGGGAGCAAACGG